rnacentral:rRNA from 1 species
UAGGGAAUCUUCCGCAAUGGGCGAAAGCCUGACGGAGCAACGCCGCGUGAGUGAUGAAGGUCUUCGGAUCGUAAAACUCUGUUAUUAGGGAAGAACAAAUGUGUAAGUAACUAUGCACGUCUUGACGGUACCUAAUCAGAAAGCCACGGCUAACUACGUGCCAGCAGCCGCGGUAAUACGUAGGUGGCAAGCGUUAUCCGGAAUUAUUGGGCGUAAAGCGCGCGUAGGCGGUUUUUUAAGUCUGAUGUGAAAGCCCACGGCUCAACCGUGGAGGGUCAUUGGAAACUGGAAAACUUGAGUGCAGAAGAGGAAAGUGGAAUUCCAUGUGUAGCGGUGAAAUGCGCAGAGAUAUGGAGGAACACCAGUGGGGAAGGCGACUUUCUGGUCUGUAACUGACGCUAAUGUGCGAAAGCGUGGGGAUCAAACAGG